rnacentral:rRNA from 1 species
UACGGAGGGUGCAAGCGUUAAUCGGAAUUACUGGGCGUAAAGCGUGCGCAGGCGGUUUGUUAAGUCCGUUGUGAAAGCCCCGAGCUCAACUUGGGAAUUGCAGUGGAUACUGGCAGGCUGGAGUACGGUAGAGGAAGGUGGAAUUCCCGGUGUAGCAGUGAAAUGCGUAGAUAUCGGGAGGAACACCAGUGGCGAAGGCGGCUCACUGGACCACAACUGACGCUGAGGCGCGAAAGCUAGGGGAGCAAACAGG